GUUCAAUCAGCUCCCUGAUGUCAAAGCGUUCAUCAAGGGUCUUUGAGAAAGAACUGUCUUCCCAGCACCUCGACAGAUGCUGUCAUACAAGCGAAGAGACGUCUGAGUCCUUCGGAGAAAUGCAUACUGUGUUUGCCCAUCUGAAGCGGAUCUAGUCCAAAUGCAGAACGUGUCAGCACUGAAACAAGCAUGAAACAGCAUGAAAAGGGGUCAGAAUAGCCAUUCGAGUCCAUUGCUGCCAGAUGAACACAUCGAACUACACCCACAAUCAGACGACUCUGCUGGCUGUUGUAGGUGAGAGAAAUCAGAAUACGUCCCCUCUCCUCUGCCUCUUCAUCGUCCUUCAACUGGAAAAAAAGCCACACAAAAGAUGAGUAAACCCAUAUAUCUUCCUGUGGACACUAAUUAACAGAUCAAUCAUUAGCUGAACCAUUUAACCAAAGUGACUUGUAAUGCACACAGAUGUACAGAUGCAGUUCAACAAGGAGACACGGAGGUUAAAUGCCUGACUCGACAGCUACCAGCUACUAUGCUUUCUUGGGAAUACUUCAGUGUUUCGUGGAAAAGAUAGACGCUGGAGGUUUGGAGCUCAUCACCGGUACUUCUCUCUUCACCACAGGGCUCUUUGGGAUAUGACCGAAUGCUCGUCCCGUUUAGGGGGCAUCGUUUCUGCUGAGCGCAGGAGAAAACGGGAAAAUGAUACUGCAAUCCACCUGUGAAUCUCAUCUCAGCCAAUUACCAUCCACAUAAGCAUCAGCUGGGAGCUGGAAUGGCUGGAAUAUGAAAAUGCAGGAACUCAGUUCUGCCCUGGUGUUAUGAAGUAAAAUGUCAGCGACUCAAAUGGGAUUCGGGCUUCAUGAUCUUGUUGCAUUAAAGAGAGUCACAUCUCCUGCUGCUACUGACCCCGUCUGACAAGGAAACUAACCGUGACUUACAUCGUCAAAAGGAUGAAUCAUCUUAUCACAGUCAAAGUGUCUUUGAAAGUUAGAGGUGCUGAACUAUCCUGUCUAUUUAUAUCUCUGAGCUACAUGCAGAAUAAUUAUUCUGUGCAGCCAGUUAAAUAUUAUUUAUACGCAGAGCAUUUUUUAGGAGUUGAUUUAAAAAUGUUGUAGAAAUGGAUUUCUUUAAUCCAACAUGCACAUCGCUGCAUAAGCAUUGACUGCUCAGCUGCCAAAACAAAUGAUCUCAUCAUCAAUGCCAGAUUUUGCACAGCCAUAUUGGACUGGAACGACUGACGCUUUGAACGCCACACUUAGUGCACAUGUUCUGUGGGGGUGAAACACAAACAGGCCUCAGGAGGCUGCGCAGGUGUAAACGCACUCAGAUGGCAUUAAGUUCCAUCACUGCUGAAAAACAGCCCACAGACUAAACAUCCCCUCCGGGAUCAAUAAACAAUCUAUUGAUCUUUGUGUCGGGCGUCACAAGAGACAAGCAUAUGCAUUCCGUGACAUUAUUUUUGAUUGUGCAGACUGAUUGGCAUCCCUCUUAAAUGCACACGUGGCUCAGUAAUGGGCAGGGCAUAAUAAAGAUAAGUGCAUAUCGCU